GGCGCGGGGGCGGUGCCUCCCGUGGCGUGUCUUGGGCGGGGCCUGGCGUCUCGCGUGGGGCUCGGCGGCGGCCGUGCGGAGGAGGCUCCUCCGACCGUGCGGCCCGGCUUGGCUGCCUCUCGGUCACGUCCGGAACAGUUAGACGAGUCCGGAACGUGGGGCAGUCCGCACAACUGGCUUGGUGUGUUCAACAAAGUCGAAUCACACCACCCCACAACCCCAGAGGCGCUGCUGAAGAUGCCAGGACACUGAAGAGAUGUUUCACUGUUAACGAAGACUUGGGUGGAAAAACCUAGGAAGCACAGAUACGUGUGGCCGCGCUGUGCAUAUAAAGUACUGAAUAACUCUACUGACAAGAACAAGUGUCUGACAAGCACUGCUCACAAGUGCACCAGGUAAGGGUUAAAACUGUGUGGAUGUGCUCUGAAGAAAUCCUAACCACACAGCCGGGCUGGAGAAGGACUUGACAGGCAAGUUCGAACUUAAAAUGGAAAGCGAAACUUUCAAAAACAUGAUACAGAUAUUAAAACAGAAAUGCCAUAUUAGGCAAUAUGACAGUUCUAGAAUCCACAGUGGGGAGGGAGGCGGCCUUCCCGGAGAUGGAAUGACGGAAAGAAUGUGUGAGUAACUGCCCGCGGGGCGCUGCGGUCAGGCCGGGCUGGGGCUGGGAGCAAGCGGGGGCAGCCAGCGAGGGGCCCUCCCUCCCGCAGCCCUCUGGGACCCAUCCCGGUGCUGCCCCACCCCCACAGGUCUGAGGACAAGGCUGGUGUAAGGUCUAGGAUGAGCUCCCUUACUGGCGUCCCCUCUAAGCCCCGGGGGGUAAGGCACUCAAGCACUGGGGUCCUCUGGCUCCCGAGUUCCAGACCCCAGGCCCUGGCGGCCCCGGGGGGCCAGCAAGCGGACGAGCCACUUCUGAGGCCGAAGGUGCAGCAGCAGCCAGGCCGGCGAAUUCGUUCAGUGUCUACAACGCAGCCCAAGGCUACACCUUUGGGGUGAAGGUCUAACCAUGAAACUGCGUUUCCGGAAACGCCCAGGAGGGUAAAGAGCAAUGAUGCACCUAAUCCAAGUCUCGCUUCCGGUCAGCUCCAGUCAGGACUCUGUUUUCUAGAGCCUGGGACUCACUCUCAGAGGGCUCUGCUAUGGCAGAUGUUAAAUUCAUUAUAAAUAGUGCUUAGAAUGCCCCCAGUUCUAGAAAUCUGUUAGGUGGGUAGCACGAGGAGAGCAGUGGGCAGGCUGACCCGGGCCCCUCUGCCUGCCUCCCGGCGGUCGGCCACAAACAACCACGGGCAUAAAAUCACGAAGUAACGGCACGAUUCACAAAAGAGAAUCAACAGCUGAAUUCAUCUGUUUUAGAUUCAAAUUUCAUCUUUUACAGUUUCCUACCCAUUUAAUCCCACCCUCCUCCCUCAGCAGCUUGGGUUCUGAGCGCCGCCCCCCAUACCUGCAUGGAGAAUCGAGGAGGCAGGCUCUGGGGGAACAGGGUCCCCACGUCCUGCAGGGGGAUGUCGUAGUGCAGACCCUCGUGCUGCUCCCCGUGCCGGGCCUGCGAAACAGAAAUGCAAACGGGUCACGGGGCCACAGACAGUGACAAACACUGGGGUGGAAAGGGCCUGCGAGACCGUUACGGGAACUUCAUCUCUCGGGCUGGAAAACAGGUUUCUUCUUUCUUUCGAAUAAAAAAAAUUUUUUUAAAUGUUUAUUUUUGGUAGGAUGAGCAC